rnacentral:lncRNA from 1 species
AUGGCCGCAGAAGAGGCAUGGACAUGCUCCAUCUGCCGCGAUGUGCGACAGGACGUCGCCUACGCCGUUCCAUGCAAUCAUAUGUUCUGCCUCGGCUGCAUCCAGCGGUGGGCGAGGCUGAAGGACAGCUGCCCGCUGUGCAGGACGGCCAUGAACACCAUCCGCGUCUCCGUGCGGGGAGACAAUGAGUACGUGGAGUGCAUCGUCUCCCCGCCCGCAGUGCCAGUGCCCGUCGGCUUUGGCACCACCACCGGCCCCAGCGGCACUGCGGCAUCUGCUCCACCGUCUGCACCACCGUCCCCUGAGCCCAUGGCCGUGGAGCAGGAGAGAGUGGGCGGCCUCCUGCCAGAGGUCUGGGCGGCACUCUUCAGGGAGAGACAAGACAUCCUCGACCCGGUGCUGCCCUGGCUGGAGCAGGAGUUACGUCACCACGGGGAGCAGCGCUGGUGGAAGAUCAACUGGCUGAAAAGCAUGAUCCUGGCAUUCCUGUGCCAGGUGGGGCCGGACAGGGACAUCCUGGUGCAGUGCACAGAGCACGCCCUGGGGCCCAUCACCGCACCGCUCAUCGACGCUCUCGUCACAAGCAUCGAGAGCCGGUGCGGCCAGCGGGCCCGGAGGUUCCUGGGCCUCGAAGACCCCAGCGCUGCCCAAGAGCAGCAGGACGGGCCCGAAGACCCCAGCGCUGCCCAGGAGCGUGAGGACGGCCCCGCGGCCCCGUCCGGUCCCGCCGCCUCCCCGCAUGGGGCCGUCACCCCCAACGCCACACCAUCCAGCUGCUCCGUGGGUCCCGACGUGGAGGAGCUCCCCAGCACAUCCAGCGGGGCCAUCAGCACAGGGCCUGCUGAGGAGCCGGCUCCCGACGCAGCCGGUCCCUCCGAGCAGCUCCGCAGCCGCGGCCCCUCUGCUCGAGGCCGCGUCAGGAAGCGCUUGGCUGGGGGACCCCGGCGCCCCACAAAGAGGAGGGCCGGCAGCACCCAGCGCGCUCCUCCGCCCUGCAAGAGGCGGCCUCCCCGGUCCCUCUAG